rnacentral:rRNA from 1 species
CACAUCGAUGAAGAACGCUGCGAACUGCGAUACGUAAUGCGAAUUGCAGGAUUCAGUGAGUCAUCGAAAUUUUGAACGCAUAUUGCACUUCCGGGUUAUGCCUGGGAGUAUGCCUGUAUCAGUGUCCGUA